rnacentral:rRNA from 1 species
CGGAAUUGCUAGUAAUGGCAGGUCAGCAUACUGCCGUGAAUACGUUCCCGGGCCUUGUACACACCGCCCGUCACACCAUGAGAGUUGGGAAUACCCGAAGCCUGUGAGCUAACUUUUAGAGGCAGCAGUCGAAGGUAGAAUCAAUGAUUGGGUGAAGUCGUAACAAGGUAGC